GCUACACAUGCAGUCGAGCGGAACGAUCCUAGCUUGCUAGGAGGCGUCGAGCGGCGGACGGGUGAGUAAUGCAUGGGAAUCUGCCCGAUAGUGGGGGACAACCUGGGGAAACUCAGGCUAAUACCGCAUACGUCCUACGGGAGAAAGCAGGGGAUCUUCGGACCUUGCGCUAUCGGAUGAGCCCAUGUCGGAUUAGCUUGUUGGUGAGGUAAUGGCUCACCAAGGCGACGAUCCGUAGCUGGUCUGAGAGGAUGAUCAGCCACACUGGGACUGAGACACGGCCCAGACUCCUACGGGAGGCAGCAGUGGGGAAUAUUGGACAAUGGGCGAAAGCCUGAUCCAGCCAUGCCGCGUGUGUGAAGAAGGCCUUCGGGUUGUAAAGCACUUUCAGCGAGGAAGAACGCCUUGGGAUUAAUACUCUCGAGGAAAGACAUCACUCGCAGAAGAGCACCGGCUAACUCCGUGCCAGCNGCCGCGGUAAUACGGAGGGUGCAAGCGUUAAUCGGAAUUACUGGGCGUAAAGCGCGCGU
rnacentral:rRNA from 1 species